UUUCCGUAGGUGAACCUGCGGAAGGAUCAUUAUUGGAUUUUGAAACUUCAGGUUGCUGCUGGCUCUCCUCGGAGGGCAUGUGCACGCUUGUUGUCCAUUAUUUCUCCCACUGUGCACAAAUUGUAGACCUUUCAGUAGGCCUAUGUUGUUUUUCACAAUCUCUGAAUGUAAUAGAAUGGUUUUGAAUCUUGGGAAAUACAAUACAACUUUCAGCGACGGAUCUCUUGGCUCUC
rnacentral:misc_RNA from 1 species